UGCCAGACUCCUACGGGAGGCAGCAGUGGGGGAUAUUGCACAAUGGGGGGAACCCUGAUGCAGCGACGCCGCGUGGGUGAAGGAGUGCUUCGGCAUGUAAAGCCCUAUCGGCAGGGAAGAAGCAAGACGGUACCUGACUAAGAAGCCCCGGCUAACUACGUGCCAGCAGCCGCGGGAAUACGUAGGGGGCAAGCGUUAUCCGGAUUUACUGGGUGUAAAGGGAGCGUAGACGGCAGGGCAAGUCUGGAGUGAAAGGCAGGGGCCCAACCCCUGGACUGCUCUGGAAACUGUCCGGCUGGAGUGCAGGAGAGGUAAGUGGAAUUCCUAGUGUAGCGGUGAAAUGCGUAGAUAUUAGGAGGAACACCAGUGGCGAAGGCGGCUUACUGGACUGUAACUGACGUUGAGGCUCGAAAGCGUGGGGAGCAAACAGGAUUAGAUACCCGUGUAAA
rnacentral:rRNA from 1 species